UUUUUUUUUAAAUGCAGCAGCAAGGCGCAAGUUUUUAAAAAAGACAGAUUUUUUUAUUCAUUUAGUUAUGUUGAAAAAUAAUUACAUAUUUAUGUGUUUUCUCACUGUUUAGCACAUACAUUUCCCACGCAAGUUUGAAUUUCGCUCAGUAAGUACUGACGGACAGCCCUUCACUCAUUAAACCUUUUAAAGUGUUUAGCACAAGCGUUUCCCACACAAAUUUCUCUCAGUAAGAACUGACGGAUGGCCCUUCACUUAUAAAAGCUUUUAAAGGUUAGCACGAGUGCGUCCAGCAUGAUUUUGGAUCUUUACCAUUGAGGAGACUGGCUGACUGUUCUCAACCAACCAUCAUUCACCUGCAAAAAUUUAAAAUUACCACAUUUAUUAAUUAUGUUGUUAGUAUACCACAGCUCUUUUUGUGGAACAUUUAUUCAUAUUUUUCUCACAUGUAAGUACGAACGCGUCUAGAGCAGUUUUUGAUCUUUACCAUUGAGGAGGCUGACUGACUAUCAUCUACCAACUGUCAUUAACACAGUAAAAACUAAAGAAACGUUACAACAAGUGGACCUAUUUAUUUAGUUUUGUCAUUGAAACAAUAAUAUUUGUGUUUUCUCACUGUUUGGCGUAGACUAAAAGUGUACAGUACAUUGAGUCUAUUAAAUUCAAAUGAAUACUUGAUAUAUUUCAUAAUAAAUGUGUAAAUUAGUUUUAAUGUGAAUUUGGACUGAAAAGCACACUUUUGUUUUAUGUCUAAAGCAAUGUUUGUAAAAUAAAUGAUUGUUCAAUAAACUGUAAUAAUUUUACCCUUUUUCUGUUUUUAUACUAAUGUUUUUCUGAUCUUAUGUAACUUAAUUAAUUUGAGUUAAAUCAACUUAAACCAUUUUAGGCAAUCGUUUUCCUCAAACCAUUUGAGUAGCUAUAUAGUUGUGUGAACUUAUUUAUUUGAAUUAAGUCAACUUAAAUUGUUUAAGGCAAUUGGUUUCCUCAAACCAUUUGAGUAGCUAUAUAGUUGUGUGAACUAAAUAAAAUGUAUUAGGUGAACUAAAACUAUUUGAGUGGUAUGAACUUAAGCGAACUUAAUAUAUUUGAGUAAAGGUAACUCAAACAUUUUUAGUCAUAUGCACUUAUAAUUUACAGUUUACAGUACUCAUAUGUAUGAGUUUUAAAACUUAAAUUAAACUUAAGGCAAUCGGUUCAACGGUUUAAGUUGAGUUAACUUAUCAGGUUUUACAGUGUAGACAUUUGAUUCCAUGUGUCACCUUUUGUUUAUAUGAACAAACUUUUAUAUUUUGAAAUUAAUUCCUGGAUCUACUAUUGUGCAUCUGAUACUUGUGAAAAAAAUUGUGACCCUGCUAGUGAAAACCUAGCUAAAGUCAUUGUUUUAGAUUACUGCUUUCCAUAUUUUAAAAAAAUUGUUCAGAAGAGUUCAGUGCUUCAACUACCUUUAAUGUUUACAUUUUACAAGUAAGCAGACUUUUGCACGGUAAUGUUGUGCUUUGAAAAAUCAUAUGGCAUCCCACAUUUAUUAUCUAGAAUUUGAAAAAUCCUCACUAAAAAAAUGAUUCAAGCCCUUCUUAGAAAUAACACAUUGAAAUUGUGUUCAAUUAAUUUAAAAUACCUUAUUACCUUAUUUGUCAGAAUCCAGCCAGAUCCUUGUUUGUAUUUAGAUCUAGUCAGCAUGGCAGGGUUCUGACAGUACAAUGUUUCAUGUGGGAGAUGCGUGGUUUUUGUAUUGAUUUAUUCUGACCACGGAUUUCCCGGGUCUCGUCACUUUUUCCCCGAUCCCUUACUUGUAAUUAUUUCCAGGUGUGUGUCAUUUACUUUCUCCCUUUAAGAGUCCUUGUGUGUUGUUCAGUACGGGUUCAUCUGUUGUUCUUUGUUAUUCAUUCCAGUCGGUGUCUUCAGUUUGUUCCAGUUACCUGUUCCUGUUCAAGUUAAGUGUAGUGUGUUUUGGUUAAAGUUUAGUGUUUUGUUUACAUGUUAUGUUAGUGUAGUCAGAAUUUUAGUGUUUGAUCUGUUUGUUUGCCCCCUCGUG